rnacentral:rRNA from 1 species
CAGUAGCCACGGGAAUACGAAGGGUGCAAGCGUUACUCGGAAUUACUGGGCGUAAAGCGUGCGUAGGUGGUGGUUUAAGUCCGUUGUGAAAGCCCUGGGCUCAACCUGGGAAUUGCAGUGGAUACUGGGUCACUAGAGUGUGGUAGAGGAUAGUGGAAUUUCCGGUGUAGCAGUGAAAUGCGUAGAGAUCGGAAGGAACAUCUGUGGCGAAGGCGACUAUCUGGGCCAACGCUGACACUGAGGCACGAAAGCGUGGGGAGCAAACAGGAUUAGAUACCCCCGUAGUCCCUGUCUCUUAUAC